UCACUUGUCUGAGAAGAGGCCAUCUCUCAGCUCUGCAGGAGAAAAGCUAACUGCUGUCUUGCUGAGGACAGAAAGGCAUAGAUCCUAAAGAUGUCUUCUAGUAAUGACCACGUGUUAGUACCGAUGUCACAGAGAAACAAGAACGGCCUUCCUGGAAUGAGCUCCAGAGGCGCGAGGACGCUCGCAGAGGGAGAUGUGCUAAGUUUUCAUCACAUCACCUAUCGAGUGAAAGUGAAGAGUGGCUUUCUAGUCCGGAAAACAGCUGAGAAAGAAAUACUAUCAGAUAUCAAUGGGAUCAUGAAACCUGGUCUUAAUGCUAUUCUGGGACCCACAGGCGGAGGCAAGUCUUCGUUGCUAGAUGUCCUAGCAGCAAGGAAAGACCCACGGGGAUUAUCUGGAGAUGUUUUGAUAAACGGGGCACCU
rnacentral:lncRNA from 1 species